rnacentral:rRNA from 1 species
ACAUACGACCAUAGGCGCCAGAAAACACGGGAUCCCGUCUGCUCUCCCUUCGUUAAACUGACGACCGCUGGACUAGUACUCAGGUCGGUGACGACUGGGGAAUCCCCAGUGUUGUAUGUU